rnacentral:rRNA from 1 species
GAUGAACGCUGGCGGCGUGCUUAACACAUGCAAGUCGAACGAUGAAGCCCAGCUUGCUGGGUGGAUUAGUGGCGAACGGGUGAGUAACACGUGAGUAACCUGCCCUUAACUCUGGGAUAAGCCUGGGAAACUGGGUCUAAUACCGGAUAGGAGCGCCUACCGCAUGGGGGGUGUUGGAAAGAUUUAUUGUUUUUGGAUGGACUCGCGGCCUAUCAGCUAGUUGGUGAGGUAAUGGCCCACCAAGGCGACGACGGGUAGCCGGCCUGAGAGGUUGACCGGCCACGCUGGGACUGGGACACGGCCCAGACUCCUACGGUAGGCAGCAGUGGGGAGUAUUGCACAGUGGGCGAGAGCCUGAUGCAGCGACGCCGCGUGAGGUAUGACGGCCUUCGGGUUGUAAACCUCUUUCAGUAGAGAAGAGGCGAAAGUGACGGUACCUGCAGAAGAAGCACCGGCUAACUACGUG